CUGCUUGUGUUGUGGUGGAGGAGGAAGGAAGAGAGGGAAAAGGAAGGAGCUGCUGCUCCAGGGCAGGCUCCCCCAACACCGAAAGGAACCACAGGAGAGCAGUGGAGAGGGUCUCGGGAGGGAAUACUACUAGCGCCCGUUCGCUGUUGCUGUGCGCUGUGCAGGGUGCAACGGCAUCCGCAUCCGCGAUUCCGUCCGCGGCGCCAUCGCCUCCCCCAAUCAGAUCAAUCCAUCCCCUCGCCCUCCUCGGCUCCUCUUCCUCGUCCUCCGAAUCGCUGGAAGGCGGAGCUGCAGAGACCGGAGCCGCCGGCGCUCCACCAAAACUAAAGUACGUAGUAGAUAGAGGAAUCCCCAAAUCCGAAUCGCCCCCAUCGAUUGUGAGUUUGUUGUUGUUGCUGCGUCUCAAGCUAGACUAGAUUUUUUUUUUCGAUUCUUAUCGUAGAUAGAUCGAAUCCAUCGAUUCGAUUCAUCGCUCCAUCGACUGGUGGUAGAUAGAGAUAGGGUUCAUACGCCCAUUGAUUCGACGAUGUUCCGCCGCGACUGCGUGGGACCGCCGCCGCCAUGCCCCACGGCCGCCGCCCUCCACCUUCGCAGCCCGCCGUCUUGACCAAACCCAAACCCUGACUCCGACCCCGGUUCCCCGCGGGAAGAUUAUAUAAGAGCCAGAACACAAGCGGCGGCCCGUGUGCACCAACUACCACCACCACCACCGGAGCAACAGGAUGGCCGAUAGCGGCGGACUCAGCGCCAACAACGCCGCCGCCGCCAACGAAGACGACGACGCCAACACUGCGCCUUUCCCCGACACGGUCCAGGUCGGAGGAUCUCCCGAGUACAAGGUCGAGAGGAAGCUGGGCAAAGGUGGCUUCGGCCAUGUCUUUCUUGGCCGACGUCUGACUGCUGCCCAUGCUGGACGCUCUGCGGCGUCUGCUGCCCAAGAGGUUGCCAUCAAAUUUGAGCACACUACCAGCAAGGGCUGUACCUACGGCCCUCCAGCUGAAUGGCAAGUCUACACCGCUCUAGGAGGCACGCACGGUGUGCCCAAGGUGCAUUAUAAAGGUCGCCAGGGUGACUACUAUGUCAUGAUUAUGGAUAUGCUGGGGCCUAGCUUGUGGGAUUCAUGGAAUUCAUUAGGCCAAUCCAUGUCAUCGGAAAUGGUGGCUUGCAUUGCCAUGGAGUCCAUUUCCAUCUUGGAAAGCAUGCAUUCUAAAGGAUAUGUGCAUGGAGACGUCAAACCUGAGAACUUUCUUCUGGGGCAGCCUUCAACGCCUCAAGAAAAGAAACUUUAUCUUGUGGAUCUUGGAUUAGCAACAAAGUGGAGAGAUACUGCCAGUGGACAACAUGUUGGUUAUGAUCAACGUCCUGAUGCCUUUAGAGGAACAGUCAGAUAUGCUAGUGUCCAUGCACAUUUAGGAAGAACCGCUAGCAGGAGAGAUGAUUUGGAGUCACUUGCCUAUACACUAGUAUUCCUUCACCGGGGCAGGUUGCCAUGGCAGGGAUACCAGGGAGAUAAUAAAUCAUUUUUGGUGUGCAAGAGAAAGAUGAGUACCUCACCUGAGACCCUUUGCGGCAUAUGUCCUCAACCUUUCAAGCAGUUUCUUGAGAUCGUUGUCAACAUGAAGUUUGAUGAAGAGCCAAACUAUUCUAAGUUGAUUUCAUUAUUUGACAGUUUAAUUGGACCAAUCCCUUCCAUUAGACCAAUCAAUACUGAUGGAGCUCAAAAGGUAGGGCAGAAGCGUGCCAGGUUGCUUAAUGAUGAUGACGACCAUGUAAAAAAGAAGAUUCGGCUGGGUGCCCCUGCAACCCAGUGGAUUUCAGUAUACAAUUCAAGGCAACCUAUGAAGCAGAGGUACCACUAUAAUGUGGCUGACGCAAGGUUAGCGCAACAUGUGGAGAAAGGAAAUGAGGAUGGUUUGUUGAUAAGUUCAAUAUCAUCAUGCUCAAAUCUUUGGGCAAUCAUUAUGGAUGCAGGAACUGGCUUCUCAGCUCAAGUCUAUGAGCUAUCUUCACACUUUCUUCAUAAGGAAUGGAUUAUGGAGCAAUGGGAUAAAAGUUACUACAUCAGUUCUGUUGCUGGCUCCAACAAUGGAAGUUCUAUUGUAGUGAUGUCAAAAGGCACACCAUAUACACAGCAAUCUUACAAAGUCAGUGAUUCCUUUCCAUUUAAGUGGAUAAACAAGAAGUGGAAGGAAGGUUUUCAUGUGACUUCAAUGGCAACAUCAGGCAAUCGAUGGGCUAUAGUCAUGUCCCGCAGUGCUGGUUUUUCUGAGCAGGUCUGGUAUUUUAUUUGCGGGAUAGCCUUGAAGAUGAGGAAUGUGCUACUACGUGUACGUGAUGAACAAAGAUGGGGGUGCCUUGAUCUUGAUGGACUUAGCAUUGCAAUUCUUGCAGGUUGUGGAGUUGGACUUCUUGUACCCAAGUGAGGGCAUCCAUAGACGCUGGGACAAUGGCUUUCGUAUCACUGCAAUGGCUGCCACAAUGGAUCAGUCUGCGCUGAUCCUAAGCAAGCCAAGGCGUCGUCCGAGAGACGAGACACAAGAGACUCUGCGGACCACACAGUUUCCCAGUCAACAUGUCAAGGAUAAGUGGGCCAAGAAUCUCUACCUUGCUGGGAUAUGCUAUGGGCGAACCGUGGCCUAACAUCGUCGGUUGCUGACCUAGCUGUUGUUUGAUGUAUAUUUUUGAGUUUUCAUCAGCUGCUACCAGCAUGAGCCACAGGUACAGGGGAGCAGUGUCCUAGUCCAUGGGAAGAAGAUGAAUGAAUUCCGAUGUAUGUACCUGAACCUGAUUCUAGGUUUGGUCUCGUAAGUUAAUCGGGAGAGGUGGGUGCAGACAGAAUAGCGUAGUAGCUACUGAUCAGCCGUAACGUACCCGUCCGAUCCAAUAAAACGAGUCUGUAAUGUGGCUUUUGCAGUGCAUUUUCUGCAUCAUGUUAAGGAGAAUUCUGUUUUUUUAUUCAGUGAUUAUGAAGAGAAAAUAUAGAGCA